GACGAACCGUGCGAACGUUGUUCGGAAUCACUGGGCUUAAAGGGCGCGUAGGCGGCCCGACAAGUCAGGGGUGAAAGCCCCCAGCUCAACUGGGGAAGUGCCGUUGAUACUGUCGGGCUCGAGGGAGGCAGGGGUGAUGGGAACCUCCGGUGGAGCGGUGAAAUGCGUUGAUAUCGGAAGGAACGCCGGUGGCGAAAGCGCAUCACUGGUCCUCUUCUGACGCUGAGGCGCGAAAGCGUGGGGAGCGAACGGG
rnacentral:rRNA from 1 species